rnacentral:lncRNA from 1 species
UUUUUUUUUUUUUUUAUAAAUCUCCUAAGUACUUAUUGGUAAUGGCAUCUAGUUGAAGCUGAUAGGCUGUUUUAAACUCUCUCAGAACUUGCGGAAGGGGCAAUUUUUUGGACUUCAAAAGAUUGGGGCAAAGAAAAUACCAGAACACACAAGAUGCCACAAACAAACAGAAAUUGGAAAAGCAAAAGCUAUGCUUCUACUGGCAUGCUUACCUAAGUCUCCACCUUGUAGGAAUAAGUGAGGAUGAUUGCAGUAUAUUGUUUAUUUCUUGUGAUUCUUUGGUUAUCAAAAGAUGACAGGUCAUUCGAUGUAGAGAAAUGGAAGAAAUAACUGCAUUUAUCAAAGGAGCUGUAUCUGAUGGUCAAUGCCUCGGAAAAUGUCUUUAUAUUCAUGGAGUUCCUGGAACUGGGAAGGUAAGAUCUAGUAGCUAUUAUUGCAACAACAGUCAUAUUGUUUCUAGACAACACAUUAAAGUUAGCCACAUAAUGGUAUAAACUUAUUCUUGUUGUUGCCAACCAACAGACAAUGACUGUCCUUGCAGUAAUGAGGACCCUAAAAAUCGAAGUUGAUUCUGGGAAUAUCAAGCCUUAUUGCUUCGUUGAGAUCAAUGGUCUAAAGCUAGCCUCACCUGAAAAUAUCUACAGAGUAAGGUUUUUGGCGUUUAAUUUAUUUAGGACAUUCAUCUAUUGCCUGAUGACAUUCUCUUCUUUAAUUAUCUUCAGGUAAUCUAUGAAGCUUUAACUGGACACAGAGUUAGUUGGAAAAAGGCUCUACACUUAUUGAAUGAGCGAUUCUCAAAUGGGACGAAUUGGGAAGAAGAAAAUAACAAGCCUUGCAUCCUACUCAUAGAUGAACUUGAUCUUUUAGUAACCAGAAAUCAAUCGGUAAUUGGCAGGAGAUUUAAGAUUAGCUACGUUAACAUCUGCUUUCUACAAAAUUUAGAAAAUUUUUUCACCCAUAACCACCUUGUUUUUCCUGUCUUGGCUUGUAAAUCACAGGUUUUGUACAACAUUCUUGAUUGGCCUACCAAGCCACAUUCCAAACUAAUUGUGAUAGGUAAACACCCACAUUCUUGAUUGGUUCAACAUGGCAGGCACAAUUUGAUGAUAACAAAAGAAUGGGACUUUAUUUCUGCAUUUUGAAUAUCAUUCCAGGUAUAGCAAAUACCAUGGAUCUUCCUGAAAAGUUGCUUCCACGCAUCUCGAGUCGGAUGGGCAUACAGAGGCUUUGCUUUGGGCCCUAUAACUACCAGCAGCUUCAAGAAAUCAUAUCUAGUCGCCUCAAAGGAAUUGAUGCUUUUGAAAAACCAGCAAUUGAAUUUGCUUCUAGAAAGGUUUUUUUUUUUCUCUUUUUAUAAAUGAAUUAUGUUUAUGUGUACCUCAUAAAGAGUUCACCUGCUUUGAAGCUUUCAUUACUAUUGGUGUUUAUGUUUCUAAAUUUAGGUUGCUGCUGUCUCUGGUGAUGCUCGCCGUGCACUGGAGAUAUGUAGGCGAGCGGCAGAACUUGCAGAUUAUCGCUUAAGAAAAUCACAAUCACUUAAUGAUUCCGCUGGUACAAGUGAGACCUCUUAGAUGUUGCUUUCAUCAAUCUGAAGAUAUUUUAAUUAGAAUGCAUGUCAAUCCAGCAUCGGAUGAAGAAUUGUACCAAUAGAGAAAAAGGAAUACCAACUUAUUGGCUCUUGUGCUUCUCAUUUUCAGUUAAGAAGAAUCUGCAUAAGAAAUACCCUUGAACUAUUUCAUGUAAUUUGGCAAUAAAUCUUUUCCAUUUUUGUUUUCAUCAAAUGAAUCGACAAUUUCUAAGCACUUUACAAUAUCCAGAUAGACUGCUAUGAAUUGCAUGGGCAUGUGCUAUCCCGGUUCAGAAUGAUCCGUGAAAGGACAUAUAUAGUCCAUAUAACCUGUAAUCAGAUCUGAAAAUAAAGCAUUUCAUGGUAGAUUGUGUUGCAAAAAUUUUAUGGCAUGAAAUUCAGUAAUAUUGCUUAUUCUUUCUCUAAUCCAAAAUUGAUGAAGCCAAAGUUUUAGUGUCCUUGAAGUUUCUGCAAGAUAUCAUGGUUAUGCAAGUAUUGCCAUUUUUCAUCUUUCAGCAUUUACUUAUAUCAUCGAGUAUGAGAGGCAAGAUAAGAGCAGGCUGGCCUUCUAUUCAACUUUUGGUAAAUAAAAGAAUUUAAGACAACAAUUUGUGAAAUGAUGGACUUGGUAUUGGCCCACAUAAAGUACUUUCUGACUCCUAUUUUUUAUUUUUACAAUGUUAAUAUUGUAAAGAUUUCUAGAAAUGCUGGCUAAUUCCUUAGAAUGUAGAUGUGUAAAGUUUUAGUUUGGUUACAGAAACUUAUUAGGCUAAAAUGCUGGGAAAAGAGAGUCAACGAUGAAAAAUUUGCUUCAGGAUUUGUGGAGACAUAUAGGAAAAGAAUUUAGACAUUGAUGAAACUUCUGCCUGUUCUACCUCUAUCUAUGUGGCUAGAUAAGUGAAGUGAUGUUUAUAGUACUUGUCGAAAGACCUGGGGACAUUGACAGCACAGUAACAUGGCUGGUAUUAUGUGUAUUUUGUGACACCUUUUCAUCAGAGGCAGGCAAUUUAUUUGAAGAUUAAUAGUGAUAAGUUGCACACUUAGAAUUGGUGAUGUGAUAAUAUUUAGGACAAAAAGACAUCAAUAAUCUCGUUUUCUGCAACAGAUGGCUUUAAGAUAUCAGGUCUGCACCUCUCUUUAGAUAUACCAAAUUGGAUGUCCAAUAGCUUCUUAUGGCAUCUAAGCCUCACAUGAUUUGGUGAACCAUUUGCUACCUGAUGCUGUAGUCAGAAGUACAGUUUUACACUAAAAUCAGUUUCUGUUCUUUUUGAAAGAGAAAAAGUACAGUUUAAUCCACAAUGUGAAAGUAGUAAAAGUACCUGUAGUUACUGCAGUUUUAUUAAUGAUUUUGCAGUUUUAAGUUCUCACGUUUAAGAUAUUUAAAUCCUGCUUAUUUGUUCCACGCCAGAAAAAUGUGGAUUCACAGUUUCUUUGUGAACUUAUCAGGUUUCAAUGAAUCAAAACAGGCACUAAUAUAGGGUUAAGGCAGUCAAUUCAAAAGUUAAACAUAUUUCAUACUAUAAAAUUUGUUUCAAAGUAACUAACCAUUUAGUGACCUUGUUCUCAUGAUCUUGUCGUCUGACAUUUUCUUUCAAGUCAUCCCAAGUAAACCAAUUUGUGGGGCUUUUUGGUAUUACUGCUCAUGCAAACCCUAAUAAGGCUUCUAAGCAUCACAAUGAAGGUUGAUACAUUUACCAUUAGCUGUCAAUUCUUUUGACGAACUUAAAUUUUGUGUAAAUUGAAGAAAGGUAAUUUGCAUCCCUUAAACAUUUAAAAAAAAAAAAUCAAAGCCAUAUCAUCGGGAUAUUUGAAAUGAAGCAAGCGAUGUAUGAAAAGUUAACAAAAAAGUCUUUGUAUGGAGCUGUAAUGACACCAUAUGCUGGUAUUACAGUUUUCCUUUUGAUCUAUCUCUACACCUUCUCGCAACUAGCUAAUGAACUGUUAACAUCGACCACCAGCUUUGUGAAGAUAGAUUCUGUCAGCUAGCAGGUGCCAAAGGAUUAAGUUAACUACCUUACCUUACAGCUUUAUAGCUGUAAGCUUCAGUGAGGACAUUGAAGAACUAAUUAUUGUGAUCUACACUGUCUUUUCUGUUGCACAACAUCUACUGUCCCUUCUUGAUGAUUGAUAUAAUAUACAUACAUAUGUAUAUAUGGUCUUCAUUUAUAGCACCUAAUGAUGAAAAAACUUGGCUUUGCUGAAAUAAGCAGGCAAUUUUACCCCCGUUCCUUUAGAAAUUUUGGGGUUCAGGAUGUACAUUGUGCAUUGUCCCCUGUUCUGCCUGGUAUGCUAAUGUUGGUGAUGAAUAACUAGAACUUCAAAUGUGUAGAAUUCAUUUCAUUAAGAACUAUGCCUGGUCCUUAAAAACUUGUGCUCAGAUGACGAACCUGCAUGAUGCCAUUUGUUCAGGAAGAAGUCUUGUUGGUGUGGCAGAUGUAGAAGCAGCAAUAAAGGAAAUGUUCCAGGCUCCUCAUAUUCAAGUAAGUAUACAACUGUGAAGUAUCACGUGAACACUACUCCAUUACAGUUCUUAGAGGAAUACAUCAGUGAUGUCAAGGAAAUGCUGUGCCGCUGUCUUGAGGGUGGAUCCAAGUAUUUGAUGGUACUAGUUCCCUGACAGGGCUUGAGUAAUCAAGUUAUGGAUACUAAUGAAGUCUGUUUUGAUUGAAAUGCAACUUGAUACAGCUGGCUUAAUAUUAGAUGUGGUCAUAAAAGGCCAAAAUUUUCUUCCUUUUUUUUUUGAGGCUGGGAAGGGAGUUCUGCCUUUGUAUUCUUUAGAUCAUUAAGUGGUCCAUAUUUCUUUGAUGUUCACUUAUUAACUGCAGUUUUCUUUUUAUAGCUAGUCUAUACAUUACUUACUGGAGAACCACCAUAUACACUGCUCAUACAGGCAUUAUUUAUGUAUUGACUUCGUUCGCAGGUAAUGAAAAGUUGUUCCAAACUGAGCAAAAUAUUCUUGGCAGCAAUGGUGCAUGAACUGUACAAAACUGGAAUGGGUGAAACCAGCUUUGAAAAGGUUAUAUGGACCCUUUCAUUCUUUGAUUUUUAUUCUUCUUAGAAUGAUGGUUAUGAAUACAGCAGUACUAGUAUUGUUGUUGUUAGAGUUAAUGUUGUUAUUACUAUCAUUUUUGUAGUCUUACUCCUUGCUGCUGUGCUACCAUCUGAAUGCCUGAGUUAUGCAUCUUCACAUGGUUGCAAGCUGCCAAUUGCUUCCUUGGCACAUACAGCGCUAUCAUAUUUUGUUUGUCUUAUCUAUUACUUUUUCUAUUACCACAAGAUAGUAGAUACAACUUGCUGUUUCUUUGUGAUUUAUUUUUGAUUCCGCCAAACUGUCCUUGGGAUUUCUUUUUCCUUCUUUGUUUUUGGAUGUGGCACCAGGAGUUGGGGAAAGGGGAUGGGGGAUUUAGCUUUUUCGGGCUGUUAGGGUAGCUUGACUAUAUUGUUUGGUAUGAAAUCUGAUAUUCUGCAUCCAGCCUCCAGCUGCUGCUGAGAGGUUGUUGAAUGUUAGUUGAUGCCACAGCAGCAGCUGGAAAGUAAAAGAUUACAUUCAGUGUCAUUCAAAAAUUGAAUCUUCCCAUUUUUAUCAGGUUUUACUGUUUCUGUUUUGUGUUGACUUUUCUUUUAAGUUUUUAAAGAUUUUUUUUAAAUUAUAUUCUGUGGGAGAGGCUAUAAUAUUAUAUUGCUCUUCAGCAUAAUGUCCGUAAAUGCUUGCUGUAUAUGCAGUUGGCAAUGACAGUUUCAUGCCUGUGUACAAGCAACGGUGAAGCAUUUCCAGGAUUUGACACACUCUUUAGAGUUGGGUAAGAUGCGUAAAUAGUUGUAUUUCCUUCAAUCAUGUGAACCAAAGUAUAUUGUCAGCCAUAUUCUUGUAGACCUUGUAUUGAAAUGACUUCAUUUAUGUGCUCAAAGACACGAAAUAAGUGUGACAUUUGUGUCGUUGCCAUGUAUGCACUUACUAAUUAGCAAAGAAGAUUUAGACCGAAUUUGAAGUUCUAAUGUGCCCCAGAGUUAAAGUUGAGGAAUUUUCUUUUCACUCCUUGUGUUUGAUAUUGGAUCUAAAAAGGAUUUCUUUGUUUUUGUUCCUUUCUUCUGUAGUUGAAAAAUCAAAGACCUUUUUUCCGUGUUACCUUGAUCAUUCAGAGGCUUAUUGUUAUUGAUAACAUAAGAGUGUCUCUGUACAUUGCUGGAAUUUGCAUCUUCGUUUCAUUUUAGUGAGCAUCGAAUUCUCCAUUAGAAAAUUAUAGAUGGUGAAAAAACUUGAGCUGACAUGUAGUGAGGUAAUCUAUGUGUGUUGAGUCCAUGUCAGAUGAAUUUAAAACCUAUUUACCUCUAGUGUUUCUAAUAUUGUGGCAGAUGUAAGCUUGGGGAAUGUCGAAUUAUAUUAUGUGAAGCGGGAGUCAGACACAAAUUGCAAAAAUUGCAACUCAAUUUCCCAAGGUCAGUCAUCACCAAGCCCUUUGUUUUAACUGAAUAAUCAUUAUUCCUCUGAGCUUACUUUCCCAACUUUAACAAGUUUCAAUUAACUGCUGUCUGAUACUGUGCUUGUGGCAUCCAGAGGUCUUGAAAAAAAGUGUAAUCCAGUUUUACUAAUUAGGGUGUCUAAGAGCCAAAGGCAGAAAACUUUGUCAGCUUGGUCAAUACUUGUGAUUUUAGUUGAAGACGUAUGUUCAAUGCCACAUCAUUGCAAAUCAAAAUACCGGCCAUCAAAUGGAUAAAUGGAUUGACUGGUGCUGACAUAGGAUAUCAUUUUGUUACCAUUCAGUUAGAUGACUCUCCUGCAUAGCAUCUCUUGAAGCUGGCAAUUGUAGAAAAGAAAUAAAAAUAAAAACCGAAUUUAGGUGUGUGGGAGACUACAUGACAGGUCGACAGUUACGUUGUCUAUGCCUCUGAUUUGAUAUUUAGUUUGUGUAACAAAAAUUUAAGAUGACAAAUAUAAUUGGCCUCAUUCAGGAUGGAACUAGUAUAAUGGUCCAAAGUUUGUGCCUGCAACAUUUCAAUUUUUCAUAUACAAUGAAUAUAUGUGCCUGCAGCAUUCCACUUUUUUGCAUCUGAAUAUUAUGUACAUUGAAACUAGAUUACAGUCCUGAUGUUUCUGUUGAAUUUUGCAGUGAUGAUGUGACUUUUGCCCUCAAAGACAGCAAAGACCUACCAUGGUUGGCUAAAUACCUGUAAUCACAAAUAGUGAGAUGCUAAUGCAUUCUUUCCCGCUUGUGUACUACAGAUUUAUUCUUUUUACGUUUUCUAAAACCCUCUCAAUUUUGCAAAUUCAUUUUUAUUUUGGGAUCUAAAUCCCUGUUAUGAUUGUAGAAGUGGGAUUAUAAUUAUCGGCCUUCCACAUGGCAAGGCACUUAUCAGAUGUGCACUUCUUAGUUUUGAUAGGCAUUUAUAUAUGCUUUUUCCUGCAAAUGACUAAACUUUUUAUAUCGAAUUGAUGAGUAUUUAGUUGCAAUGAAUUUUAGCGUCAGUGCAUGGGUGUUUCUUGAAAUAUUUUAACGGAACUUUAUCAUAGAUGUUUCUGAAAAAAUAUACGGGUGGGGAACCGUUGCUACAGGGAUAGGGUGGCAAGGAUGGAAAUGUGAGGUGUUUUCUGGUGUUUGGAUUGGGUACUUAUUGUUUAUCUAGAUCUGUUUUAUAGAAACUAGUGUUUAUGUAGCACCUUGCCUGCAUUAGCACCUUUGAUGUCUUCGCUAUAUCCAUGAUACACGGUUUAUCUUUAAAGAAAGGGAAAUAAGACUCCCAUGUCUGUAGUCUUUCAGGUCGACAAGGCUUCUGGACCAUCUAAGUAAUGCCAAGAAGCUUUUCUGUAUUUUUGUCAUCACAGCACUUGUGCUGCAUGGAGUCCAAGUUCUACUUGAGCUAACAAUUUCCUGUGUCAUCUUUAUCCAUUAUGAUAUUAGGCACAAUGCAAAUUUCAGAUCCUUUUAUUCUCAAUAAUCUUUAGCACGUCCAAGGAGAGGUUUUGAAUUUGAACCUUUAGAACUUUAGUGUUAGUAUGUGUUUUUGCACUCAAAAUGUCAAUGCAAGUUUGUUUCUAAUCUUUUCCAAAGUGAAACCAUACUUGUCUCGCUGUUAGGAAAUUCUGUUAUGACACUGGGGAUACCCAAGUAAUUAUCAAAGGUCAUUUGUCGAUUCCUAGACCAGAAGAGAAGAUUAGGCUCUGAGUCUGAGCAUGUGGGUAUGUGUUCUUGGAGAAGAACAUCUUUCAUUUCUCUAGGUUGAUAGAUAGGCCAAACCUUAGGUAAAAAUUGUCUAGAACACUUUUUGCUGUAUUUAUAGAACGUUCUCCACAACUAAAGAACAAAAUUAGGUCAUCUGCAAUCAUGCAGUCAGUGUGAGAUGACAGGCCCAAUCUUUAAAGGCUCCCAUUUUUCUGGCUCGCUGCUUCGUCAUACAUAUGGAAAUAUACAUAUGGAGAAAUGGACCCCCUUGUCUGAUUACCCUAAAAAGAAUUAUCCAUUUAGAGGGACAGGUUCGACGGGAUUAUUAAGAGGUCAAAAGGGAUUAAACCGUAUUUUUAUAUUUUAAGAGAAGGGGAAGUCAAAAGGGAUUAAAUCGUAUUUUUAUAUUUUAAGAGAAGGGGAUAGGUCCAACGAGAUCACUAACAUGUCAAAGGAAUCUAAAUACUUCUGAACCAAAUAUGUGUGCACUAAAGGACCCGGUGAAUUUGAAAGGUUAAGAAUUUCUAGUGUUUGAUAUUUGACAAAGAAGAUUUGAUCUCCCAACCAACAUCCCAAUAGGAACUUAAAGACCCUCUUGAUGGACACUAGACCAAUGGUUCAAGUUAAGGCCUCUCAUGAAACUCCAUUCAAAUUUGUCAUAAGCAUUUUCCAGGUUUAUUUUUAAAGCACGAUUUCCUAUUUUUCUCUCUCUUUGCUAGGAAUCUUUUUCAACACUUAACGCAGCAGGAAACACAUUAAACAAAAAUGUAGAACUCAUUUUACUCGUGAUCAUGAGAGUUUUUUUCUAUUCAAUUUGUUGGUACCGUUAGAAGAUUAUUGCUAAGUAUCUUGAGACUCAAUGAGAGCAGAGAUAAGCGAGCUUGGACAUCAUUUAUAGGAGAGCUGACAAUUAUACAAGAAUCCUGGUCUCACCAGAUUUUACACAGAUGUUUAGUAGAACAACUCCAAACUGUUAUCGUUUGAAAGAAAAAAAAAAAAAAAAGAACAACUCCAAACUUGAAACUGAAAGCAGGCACUAAUGAGGUUGACCAAACCAGUGUAACUCAAGAGCCUACAUUUAUCUUUCCCUUCUCAUUUAGUUUGUUGAUGUUAAUAAAAUUAAAUUGUUCAUUUUGUGAAGCAUUUAUUUGUGAAUUACUUAAAAGAUUUAAUAAUAUGUUUGCACCAUAACUAACAAAACUAGAGAUGUAAACGAAUCUAAUUAAGCUGAACACCCUAAUAUUCAAUCUUAUUUGAUUAUUUUAUGAGCUUGAAUUUUUGUUCAAAUUUAAUUAAUUUACUUGUCAAACAGAAUUUGAACAAGUUUCUUUAUUGAAUUUGAAUGUUAUCGAAUAAAAGAUGUUAUUCAAAUUUAGUUUGACUAGUCAAUGACUAAUCUCAUACGAAACUCUUAUCAAACCGAACUUGAUUUAAGUCUCGAGUAAUUUGAUUCAUUUUUCAACACUCUAUACAUCAAAUUAUUAUCUUCACAGCAGAGAUGUACUCCUUUGUCUUCUUAAUACAACGAUAAGAUUAUCUUUUCUAUUUUUACUAUUUUUUUUCAUUUCUUAGUUACGACCUUUUUUCCAAUUAGCUUUGCACUUUUCGUCAACAAACUAUUGACUUAAAUUUCUUGCGCUGUUUGAGCAUAAGCUUUUAUCUGUUCCAGAUUUUGUAAGAAUGGUAGAAUUAAUUUUAGAAUAGUUACAUGUAACCAUAAUGAUUAUUAUAAUAAAAAAUGUCAAGAUUAAAAGUCUACAUACACUUUUCGCGUGCGUGUUUACACACACUUGCUAAAACCUACAAUAGUGGGUAUACCUAAUAGUAAUAAAAAGAUAAUCCAUGCAGCAUCUGGUAUACAAAUCUGAGUCGUUACUUUUUUAACUUGUCAAACUCCAUCUACUUUUGAAGUCGAAUUUGAAUUCUGUUUCUAAGCAUUUAAUCAACAAUUUGCUAGAAGGUUAACCGCGUAAACAUGAACGAGGAAGAUGUUGGAAGCCACUCAUACUACAGCAGGAGAAAACUGCAUCAUACAAGAUGUUAAAGCAAUUACCUUUUACGAACUGUAGCAUUUAUCUUCAUGAAGUACAAUUUAAUCCUACUACGAAACACAAAACUGCAAAUUUAUGCAUUUGACAGCUGCAGAUUCAGAGCAGGUUGCUGCGUAAAAGAGGAGGUCCUCUGCCACAAUGGCCGGCCCAGAAUGGCACUUCCAUGGACAGCAAGGUAGGCGGCAUUCAACCUGUUUCAAAAAUUGAACAUUCUCAGCUAAAAGAACCACAGAGCACAUGGACAUCCAAGGAACAAAGACUACUGCAACAUUGUUGCAAGGAAGUUGCAAAAGAGGGAUUUACUUGUCAACGCCACGUGUAGCCAAAGGAUCAUAUAGUUCCUCUCUUUGUUCUAAAGCAGGAGCAGCAGCUGAUAUUGCUGCAGGAUCUUGAGAACCUUCACCCUGUAAAGAAUACAACAUAAACCACUUUUUCAGAAGAAAAAUCAACAAGAUGUGCAACCAAAUAUAUUCUAAAAACAAGAUUAACAAGAAAAAAUUCCCAGAAGGAAUAAUACGUAUCUCAAGAUUAUGGAAAUCCAGAAAUCUUGGUGGUGGUCACAUACUGAAGGUUUUGAGAGAGGCAAAGUGUGAAAAGAUGGCACAUUGGCCAAUGAAGUAAAUCUUUCUAUUAUCCUCGUAAUCGUCGCCUAUGCUCCAGUCACCAACAAAAGUUCAUAGGAAAAGAAGGGAACAAACACAACAGAAGUUGCUCAUGUGCAAUCCGAGUCAGCAUCUUUCAACUCUCCCAAUCAAAGCAGUCCAUCACUGCUUAAGAUGGAAGAACAUUGAUUGAAGCUCUAUUCCAAUCAACGUUACCUCACCAGGUGGAGCAAGGAAGUUAUAACAGCAGAUUUGCGGGUUGAGUUAAAAUUUUUGAUGGAACUCAAUCUAACUAAAUUCAAGGCAAAUCUAUUUUAAGCUUGGCUUCCCCAAGGUAGUUCACGAACUCCCAAGCCCCAACUGCCUAACCUCUGUUGAUCUUAAUCAACAAAACAUCGAUUAUGUUGUGCAGUAAAUAUUUGUUUCUUCAUAUCUAAAACAUUUGAGCUGUUCAUGAACUUUGGUAACAUGCUAGUACACUUACCAACAACACUAUCAAGAUGCAAAUUUUAUCCUAAAUACUACUGAAGCUAAAUUAAUCUUCAAUAUCACACUUGGCAGCCAGUAUGCCAAAACUUAUCCAGACUGUAGAUAGUUUUACCUGGAUAAGUCUCAAUUUGCAACUCCAAGAAGACCGACUCCCAUCUCAAAGUCAAGUUUAUAGAUUUUCAGAUAUGUCAUGCUUGAGAACUUGCCAAGUCAGAUUAAUCCACAUACAUAAAUAGCUUAAUUAGGCUUUGAGUAGAAUGUGAACAUGUGUUUAAACAACUCACUAUCACCCCCUUCAUUAGAUCUUGAUCUUGGAUUGCCAUUUAAUUUUACAGAUAGUGCCUGACUUCAAUCAUGAUAUCUGUAAUACGACCACAUACUUGAUAAUUCUUAAGUCACAUACCCUGAAAAUAUAAUGUAUUUGGCAUCGAAUUCUACACUUUUUAGGUAAUUUCUUAACUUUUCACCAGUCUCUUGUUUUGAAAGAAUUACCUUAACAAGGGAGCAUAAGAAAAUGAAUCUACAAACAAUAGAUUUCUAUGUGAAGGAUAAACGGCUGAAAUCAAGGCACAACCACAACUCUUCAUGAAACAAAGUCAUCCUAAAAAGACUCAACAUAUUUGCAGGCAACUAAACUCGUAUUCUUCUAAGUACUCAAACAGGCAUGUCAGAUUCUAUAACCAAAUCUUCUCGAGUACACAACUUCUGAUCAUGACACAAUGUAGUUCAGUAAGCAUACUUUUGAAAAUAUAAUGUAUUUGGCCACGAAGUCUACACUUCUUAGGCAAUUUCUUAACUUUUAAUCAGUCUCUUGCUUUGAAAGAAUUACCUUAACAGGAAGCAUAAGCAAAUGAAUCUACAGAUAAUAGAUUUCUGUGUGAAGGGAAAAUGCAAAUCAAGGUACAACCACAAUUCUUCUUGAAACAAAGUCAUCCUAGUAAGAUUCAACAUAUUUGCCGGCAACUAAACUCGUAUUUUUCUAAGUACUCAAACAGGCAUGUCUGAUUCUAUAACCAAAUCUUCUCUAGUACACAACUUUUGAUUAUGACACAAUGUAGUUCAGUAAGCAUAGUUUUUGGCCUACAUCACUAGUGCUCUCACUGUCAUUAAUUUCUUUGAUAAAAUUAGACAAAAGGGAUUUCUUAAAGUUUAGUCUUGAUGAUUUCCCUGGCAUUUUUCCACAAGGCGAAGUAAGACGUGCAAAGGCAUUCAUUUUGAGGGAUGCAAUAGAAAUCAUUGGCCCCAUAAGGCACAGCAAGAUCACCCUACAACUGGCCAUUAAGCAUGGUUAAGGUAUUGAAGUUUGACAACACCACUUAAUGCACCAUACAUUCAUUGGUAAGUGCUAUCACUUGUAUCGUUCCUGCAAGACAACUAUAUGCUGUUGUACCCAAUGUUUUUAAACAUGAACCGGCUGAUUGUCCAAUUCUGAUUUUUUCCCAACCGGCCAGUUCACCGAUUCUUUGAUUUUUAAAUUAUUUUACAAUAAUUAAUAUUUAAUAACCAGCAUAAAAAGAUGUUAAGACAGAAUGUUUAAGAAGAGCUUAUCUAGAAAUUUUUCAAAUAGCUUGCUCAAACUAAAUUUUUCACAAGAAUAUGCCUUAAAAUCCUGCAGCAGAGGGGUUAGAAAACAAGAACAUGCCCAUCCACCAAAGAAAAGAAAAAUGUUCAUCAGAAUUUCUUUAAAAUUAUGGCAAAAAAAAAUUCCAGUUUAUGGCAAAAAAGAAAUUCCAGUUUCUCAUAUUAACAACAAAAGAUAUGCUGCUUUUCCCAAGUCUAAGUACAAAUCAAAAUAAACUUUAUACAACCAAAUCAAAAAAUGGGGAAAAAAAGUGAAGAAAAAUCAAGCAUCUAAAAACAUGCCAAUCAUCAUCACCAUCUCAUCUUCUAUUGUCCAGCAUCAUCUUCAUCACCACUAGUAUGUCUUCUAUGCUUAAAAAUUAUGGAUAUAAUCUUCAUCAAGUUUAUCAUAGUUUUCACCAUUUAAAAACAAAAAUAAAAAAAUAGAUGAGAGAUUAAGAAGGGCUGCAAACAAGGGAUGUUGUAGCAGUGGGAUGAGUGUGAUGAGAGGGUGGAGAAGAAGGAUCUAGUCAAAAAGAGGAAACUGACGGCCAAAAGAAAAUAAGGGGAAGCUGAUGUUUUGGAGUUGAUGUGGAUGAUUAAUUAGCCCAUUAAGUUUGUUUUAGCCCUUUGUGAGCAAAUCAAUAUAGUCAAGUUGCUACCUAAAAUUUUGGGCUUUAUCAGCCCAAAAUUCAAAAAAAAAUUGAGAAGCCCAUAAAGAAAACCCAGUGGCCCCAUGUUGCAUCUCAAAACCCAGACUUAACCAGUUGAUUCUGGUUCACCGGUUUGUACCAGUUUUAUCUGGGUUUUUGCACCAGUUUGUACCAGUAUUGUCUGGUUGCUGUUUCCUCUUUUUUUACAGAACUGGACCAGUAUCAAGGCCUGUUCAACCUUGGCCAGCCCGGUUUUGAAAACACUGGUUGUACCAGUUUGAUUUUUUCUGUAAGUCAACACUAUCAAGACUAAGUGCAAGCAAAGAUUAAAGAUGCUGUAAAACCUCAGAAAGCUUUGAACCAUGAAAGAGAUAUCAAUCAUGAAUUUUCUAACAAAAUAUUCCAGAAAGUAUGUCUUCCAUUUUUCUUUUGCAUUUCUCGCUCUUUUGUCCCCUCUAUUAUGAUACACAGAGCCGUAUACCCACAACAGAAGUCCAGCACAGGAAAUGGGAAUAGUUUACUUAAAACUUUAGGUUCUAGCUUAAAGUGAUUUGGAUUCCACUAUCAAGGGGCAUCAUCCUUGACUUAUAACAGCAGUAAAUCAUGUACUUGGAGAAGAUACUAGAAGAAUAUAUAACAUCAUCUGAUAUUGGAGCAAGAAUUUAAUUUUUACAUGUUGAAGCCCAGUAAUACACUAACAGUUCUACUACAUUUACUUUUAACUUCUUCUUGGAUAUAUAGAAGCUAGCAAUCUGCAAAAUCCUAAAACACCCAAAACUAUGGGCUUGUUCUUGUCUUUUGUAGAUUUUGCAAAAGCAUAUUAUGGAAAGUGAUUCUAGAAAUCAUCAGAAUCAGCUAAAGCUACUCUUUGGUAGAUUAUGGAUUUUAGUUUUUUUGUAAUUAAAAAAUCUAAAAUCUAGAUGCAAAGGCGAACAACAAAAUUAUUAAAAAACAAAAAGACUAUUCAAAACCAGAAUCUAUAACCAGGUGAAAUAAUCAAAUGAGAAAAAGCCCUAUGUCAUUUCAAGAUGCAACUUUCCUUCUUCAUUUCUAUUUGUUUGUGAUACUAAUUUUCAUCCUUCUACAGCAGAUCAUACGCACUUGGAGGGAAAUUAUGCAGAGAGCAGUUAUGUUACUUUUAAGUUUAAAAAGUCCCAACUUGAACUGAAGUUAGUAAUCCUUACCUACUCCUGUAGAAAGGAACAACAUUCUAUGAUUGUCAGCAUGAUACCAGAAUCCAUAAAAAUGUUUGAACUAGGAAUUUCCUCAAAGAGUAAUACUUGUCUAAAGUAGUAUAGCAAAGCAGAAAGCAAGGAAUACAACUAAUCAAAAUACUCAUAAAUCGAACAAAUAUAUUUGCUUACCUGUUGAGUAUAUUGUAAAUAACCAGCAUAUGCACCAUAUCCAUACAAUGAGGGAUCUUGUGUGGCUCCAUAUGAAUAUGCAUCAUAGCCUUGUCCAUAACCAUAAUAAGCACUCCAUUGAUUAGGAUCUGUAGGCUGGGUCCAAGUACCAGGUAGAUCCUGUCAGUGGUAUCAAAUACUCAACAUCAUUUAACAAAGUCCAUAACAACACUAAGCUCUUUGUCUCAGUAGAUAGAUAGUACUCAUCACUUGACUCCCCAUUACCUCUGCUUUCUUAAAGGAUCAAUAAGUGUCCUAGUUCUCUGCCUUAUUAAUUGCUUAAAAUAACAUCCAAGUGGAAAAAAGUAUCCUAUCCAAUCCAUAAAAAAUACAUUCCAAUCCAGGCCAGUGUGAUAAAAAAGAAAGUUAAUGACAGACACCUGCUUUGCCGUUGGACUCCUUCCCCAAGAAAGACGGACUACUUGUUGCCCAAUCACAGCGCCCUGCAUCCUUUGAAUUGCUUCUUCUGCAGAUGUCCUGCAAAGAUGAAUAUCAAAAGACAGAAAUUUGUCCAGAAAGAAAAUGACUAAAUGCGUACAAAGGAGAAAAUAGGAAAUCAUGACAAUGAAGGACAGCAUUCGAUGUAUGCCAAAACAACUAUAGUAGUUAUAAACAGCUUUUAAAUGCAUGAGAUGAGAUGGCUAAAGAAAUCCAACAACCAAACUCAAAGCUUAAUUAGUCAUUCUACACCACCAGAAAAAUUCAUUCUUAUCUUUUUAACUUCUCUUGUUGGGAGUAGAGAGAAUUUUCUUUUGUGUUUUAUUCUCUUCAACAAAAUAUAAGUAAUAGUUUGCAACAUGCCUAUGAUAGGCAGUGAUCAUGCCUUUAAAAUAACUGAAUUAAAAGAUUCACACAUAUUAUUAACAAUAUAUCGCAAUCCAAUCCAGUCUUGAAAUGAGCCCUAAACCAAGUAUUGGGGUCCUUUUCAUCAACCAUUAUAUGCAUCUUUGAUUCUUGCUUCAUCAUCUCUAUUUCUGCUUUGAACUGAGUCAUAUAUGAAGCCCUUGCACAUCUUCAAAGCCUAUCUUAAGAGUAAGACCUCUAUGCAUUUGCUUGAAGUUAGUAUAAAAGUGUUGGACACAACACCUAUGCUCAGCUUCUGGAAGUUUGUCCCUAACAGCCUAAACUAUACCCUUUGCAACACACACAACAAUCACAUAUGCCACACUAAUAUCAAUAGUUUAACAUAAAUAUUAAUUGGAUAACAAAUUAAUAAAUACUACCUUCUGUUUGUCAGUCAUAUGCACCAUGUACUAAGAUCUGAAAUUUGUAAAUCUUGUACAAGCAAUCCUAAAGACCAACUCCAGUUAUCAUAAUUCUCUACCCCAACAACUGACAAAGCCAACGGAAACAUUUUGUUAUCACAUCCAUUCUAACUGCUAAUAAAAGCUGCCCAUCAUAUGGACCUUUUAGGAAGCAACUAUCUAACCCAAUCUCUAUAUCAGCCAGCUAAAAACUCUCUUUAUUGGUUCUAAGCGCAUAUACAGCCUUCUAAACCUAGAAACACCAUUUCAUCUAUAUCAGUCUUAACAAACACAGUAAAUCCCGGAUUUGCCCUCUCAAUUCACCACAAAUGUUUCCAACAUGGUGCUAGUUUGUCAUGGAACCCCUGAAUAGUGUCUCUCACUUUUCUAAGUGUUCUAUACCUUACUUAAGGCUAAAAUCAAUAUUUAACUCCUCAAUUACUUUGGUCAUCAACUCAUGCACUGUCAUAGAUGACACUUUCCUUACCUCAUCAACAAAUAGUUUGCUAGCCAACCUAGAUGUCAUUUUUUAUUGUGGAACACUCUUCCACAAGUGUGCUCAUCACUAAGUGUUUUUAUUUGAAAGGUGUUUUCAUCUUGCAUUUUAGACCCAAAUAGCUGCUAGUCACAAUUUCUGCAUUUCAGUCUCACCCUACGUGUGUCAUUUUUCUUGAAACACACAUCUCUCCCAUCCAUUAUUGCUUGGAUCUUACAGCCAACCUGAAUGUAAUGACUGAUGUGAACUUCUGACCAACUUCAAACUUUGGUUUCUUCAUGUCUGUUAACUGGAAAUUUAGGCCUCCUUGUUUUACUAUUCCCAUCUUCAUCAGAUUCACUUUGACUCCUCAAUUCAAAUGAAUCAUCCAAGUCAUAUUCUGAUUCAAUGUCAUCAAUAUUAAUCAUAUCAGGGUCAUCACAACAGUUAAUUUUAAUGGGUGGGUCUCUCUUCCUUCUUGGCUUUUUCUUUCUUUGCUCACUACAAUGAGAAGGACCAGGUUUAUUGCAAUGCGAAGGGCCAGCUUCAUGUGCACCUAGGUCUACUCCAAUAGUUUGACCAAUUUUGAUGGCUUCAUCUAAUACGUCAUUGUCUCCCCCUGGAUCCUCAUAGUCUGAAUCUGCCAUCUUCUUAUCAACAUUGACUCCAUUUUCUUCCUCUUCUUGUCUGGCAAUAUCACAUGAUAUUUCCCCUACACCACCUUCAUUGCUGGCUGCCUUUUGUGCAUUUUCAUUGCAAUUUUUACAUUCAUUUUCUUCUCUGACUUGUGCAUUUAAAGCUUCAUCAUAACCUUCAACAUCUUUUGUUCCUUUGCAGCAUCACUCCUAUUAUCAGCUUUCUCUUCUACCAAAUGUCGUGCCCCAUUUUUUUGAGAUAAGAAUAAAAGAUGAGUUUAAAAAAAAUGGCUUUUGAUUCAAUUUUUGAUUGGAAAAUGACUUUUUGAUUUAAAAAGAAAAUGAAAAAUAUGAGUCUAAAUGGGACUUGAAAAUGUGACGAUUUGACCCAAAAUAUAGUUUAAAAAGGGUUAUUUGAAUUAAAAAUCGGAAUCGCCACUUGGUAUAGAGUUAAGGUGUACCAAGUCACCUAAAAGUGAAUUUUUAAAGAAAAGUAGAAAACUCUUUUCAAACGAACCCCAAGUCUACGAAAAUCAGAGAAAAAGAUUCGGGAGUCACAUUUGAAGAAAGAGAAGGCAAGGAUAAGAAUCCAAGGCACCAUUUCAACCUAGCCAAGGCUAGUUGCGUGAUUUAGUCAAAGAUUUUCUUAUAUUACCCUUAAGAUUUAUCACAUUUGGAUGUACUAUAUGAAUGCAUACCCUAGACCUAAGAGGGUGUCAGGGGGGUUUCGAAAUGUAUCUUCAAAGCUUACUUCGGUACCAAUCACAUUAAUUGUGACGCCCAAUAAAGACUUUUCGAAAAAAUCACGAAUAAUGCAAGUCAUGAGACUCGAAAGAAAGGAAAAGUAAAGAAAAUAAUAAUAUACAAAUGUGUAUGACCUAAAGGAAUGCAUCAUAAUGGGUGCGGGGACUAAUGUUCGUGACUCAAUUUUCCCUUUAAUAGAGGGAAUACGAGUGUGCUAAGGCUAGAAAGCCAAACUCGUCAAUAUCCCAUACUCAAGGGGUUUUUUCUAGUCUAACCAAGCAAAUGUACUAACCUAGGUUUAAUACUUAGAUGAAACGCAAGUCUAAUGUCAUGUUUCAUACAAAGGGGUAAGUAAUAUACAUAUGAGGGAAAAUAUGGGGGAAGGGAUAUACGUAGAAGGAGGGAUGUCAUGCAAAAAAAAUGAUAAAAGACCCUAAAAAGUGAAAACAUGCAUGAGAUGGAGUGAUUUUAUCACACAAUCAUGAUCUAACGCUCGAGGGCUCCUAAGGGUCUAGCAUUGGACUAGCCCUUUUACUAAUACUCUCUCACAAGCAUUGGACUUGUGAGGGCUCGAGGGGAAAACCAUGACUAGCAUUGGACUAGCCACGGUAACGUGCAUUCAUCCACACAAUCAGAUACAAUAUUAAAACAAAUAGACAUGCAAAACACAUAGUUUCACAUAGCACGUAACACAUAAGCAUGCUUGUCUAGAUGCAGAAUCCUAGGAAACGAUUAAACACAUAGGCAUAUAGGCACACACAAGCACAUAGCACACAAGCCCUAUCUAUUACAAAAGGGGAUGCCUACUACAGUCUAAAGGGGAGAUAAAAUAAAUAAAUAAUUAAAAUAAAUAAAUCUUUAACUAUUACAAAUUUGGCAUCCAAGUGCCUUUCAAAUGAGCAAAAUUGAACUACAAUAAAUAUUCAAAACUAAAGCCAAUAAGUAAGUAAAUGAUAAAGAUAAAACACUUUCAACAGGCAUGCAAUUAAACACAUAAAGUCAUAUAGGGCAUGUAGGAUCCAAUAAAGUGAGAAAUAAGGGAUAAAACGUACCUCCCUUGAGGUGGGGCCCUAAUUGAAUGAAAUCACUUAUUUACCCUCCAAAAUAAAAGAAAAGGUCAAGGCAUCUCAAAUAAUCACGUUUAUACGAAAUUGAAUCAUUAAAUGCAUUCAAAUGCCUAAACAGUCCAUAUUCACAAGAUUAGGAUCCAAUUGAAAGGAAAAAGAAAGUUCAAGGGGGGCAAUUUGAUUGAUUUUUUAAUUAUUUGGGCCAUAGUAUAACAAAAAGGAACUUGGGGGGUUAAAGUGUAAUUUUUAGAAUUACUUUCCAUGCAUGCUACGAAGAAACAAAUUCUCAUCUCUGGUUUCCCUUUCUCUGCAGCUUACUGUGUUUCAUUACCAACCCAAACAUUACCAACAAACAUCGACUUUUGAAUCAAACGAUCACAAGACACUCCCCCAAUCAUCAACCAAGCCAAAUAUUACAUUUGUGUUGCAAGACCGAAUGAGAAAAAUCUGGUUUAGUGAUUGCUAGAAAAACAAAGUGCAGCAGUAGUUUUCGUAACAGCAAAACAAGAAAAUGCAGCAACAAUCUUUAACUCUUGUUUGAAAUGCCAAAAACAAAACGUUCAAGAAAUCAUGCUUAAGCUCAGACCCUGAAACAAACAAGAUGCCAAACAUGCUAUGAAUCAAACACUCAUCAGAGAAAACGCAUGCCAAGCUGAAGUUUUCCUUCCCACAACACUUUGUCUUCGACUUCAGCAUAUAGGAAACAACCAUGAAUAGCUUGCUGAAGCCUCCAACUUCAACUCUUAAAGACAUCAAAUUCCAAAUCAGAAAAUGAAAACCAAAUGCGUGGUUAAUAUUCGGGUCCCUCCCAAUUCAAAAUGUAUUCGCAAGGAAAUAAACUUCUGCACUGAUUUGCUUUUUUUUUUAACUUUGCAGGUGACCUGAUAGCAUGUGAUAAUCUUAACCAGAAAAAACAAUCUCAAAUAUUUAACAAGCUUCCUAAACUCAUCACUGAAAUAUAACAUUGAAUGCACAAACGAAGGAAAAAAAUCUGAGCAAAGGAGGAAUUCAUCAGACCCCAGAUUCAUUCAUUAGUUUCAAAACUAAUGACUUUCCAAACACAGCUUUAACACCAGAUGUUGUUCAUGGCAUUUCACUCAAGCAUAGACAACAAAAAACAAGCAAGUCAAACGAAGUCAUAGCUUCAGCAAAACGAAUACGUGAAAAUGACAGCCACUACAACCCAAAGUAAAACACAUGAAUUGGUCAAACGUUGCUGCAACAGAUUUGAGCAAGCCGAGAGUUGCAAACCUGUUGCAUUAGAAGCUCAAUCUAUUUCUAAGAAUCCAGAGCUACCCAACUACGAUAAAGGAUCUCACGAACAGGGGCAUAAGGCCAUAUUCAUCAGAAAUCAGCAAUAACAUCAUGUUCAUCAGAAAUCAGCAACAACAAAUCACAACCAAGAAUAAACGAACUAGAAAGCUGCAGAUCCUUACACAAAUAUCACCAGAUCUUCACAAAAUGGUAUGAAAAUGACAGGAAGAAAGGCUGGAGUUACCUACAAAUGUCGGUGAAAUAAAGCAAACGUGAAAUAUGUCCGAAAAAUGCAUGCAAAUUCCAGAAAUGAGAUUGAGAAUGCCGGCGCCGCAGAACUUCAGCGCUGAUGAAGUCGUCACCUUGGCUCCUGAUUUGGCUAUCUUCCUAUGGUUUUCCCUUCAAAAUUUCUGAAUGAAAAACACUCCCAUCACAUUGUAGAUGUUCCAGAUUACCCUAAAUCUCCAAUAAGGAGCCAAAUCCAUAGAAAAAAUUGCCUCCAAAGACAACAGAAAAUCAGCCUGGAUAGCAGAUUUUCUGGAAAAUUUUCUCUUCCCGCCGCCGCUCUUUCCCCUCGUUUUUCUCAGUUUUCUCCUCUAACUCUUCCCAGAUCUAACUCUCUCCCUCUCUUAUUUUGGUUUUCUUCCCUAUCCCAGAAAGCUCUCUAGUUUCCCCGGCUCCUUUCUUCUUCGUGUUCCCUUUUCGCAAACCUCAGCCGAAGCCUCCCUCUUUACUUCGGUCCUCCUGUUUUUCCCUCAACCAAAGACGAAAGCCCUCUGUUCUUUUCCUUCCCUUUUUCGUUUCCUAUGUAGCUCCUCCGAAAGCUUCUCCCUCAGUUUUUUCUUUUCCUUCUGCUUUUUCUUCCUCCUUCAGUCCAACGCUUUUUCUUUGUUUUCGUUCCUUUUCCCCGCAGCUUCUCUCUUUUCACCGUUUUCCCUCCUUCCGGGUCUCUAACUCAGCCGCCCUACUGUUUUUCUUUCUGUCAACCUCAGCCCUCCUCCUUUCUAGUUUCUCUCAGCCGUCCUUAGAUGCUCCCUUAGUUCUCUGCUGUUAUCUUUCUUUUCCCGUCGUUCUCCUUUUUGCCCCCCUUUUUCUCAGCCGCCCCUUCUUCCUUUUAUAACAAACAAAACACUAAACCCUCCUCUAAAGGGUUCUGAUGGAAGCCAAGUCAUUAGCCUUGUAGAUCAUCCGAUGGUGAACAAAAACAAGGAGUUGUUGUGCCUGCUUGAAAUGUUAUAUGAAGAAAUAGGCGCGGAUCCUGUGUAGCUCGGGUGCAUGAGCCUGUUUCCUUUUUUUUUCGGCAUUUUCAUUUUUUCAUUUUUCUCUUUUUCUUUUGUUUUUCUGAAAUUUAAUAUGAAGACAAAAUAAACCAGAACAAAAUAAAAUAAAAUAAAAAUUAAAACCCUAGAAUUGAAACAAAUAAACCCAUUAAAUUAAUUAAACAAAUAAAAUUAAAAGAUCAAAAAUUUGGUGUCUACACCAAAAUUUCAGUUUCAGUCGCUUUGCUAUUCACGUCUUCAUAUUCUGGUUCAUCUUCAGCAGCAACACUAUAAAAAUCCUCACUUUUUUGUUCAACAUCAGCACAUUUUCCUUGCUUGCCUGCAGUUUUUGGUGCUAUUUCUGGCCCAUUACUACUGUCUAAAUCUUUAGAAAACAGAUUCGGUACUCUCGGUGUCCAGUUGCUACUGCACCCUUUUGUAGUGUCUAAAUUUACUGGAUGAAUGUCAAUAUUUUCUCUACCAUCUUUUUCCACUUCAUCAGGGUCUAUACCUUUUCUAUGAUUAUAACAUCACUGUCUCUAUCCCUUUCGGCUUCAUCUCCCUUAGCUUGACUUAAGGGUGCUACAGCCUGUGGAUAACCUUGUGAGAAAACUCUAAGAAACACUUCUGCCACCCUAUGUGGUGGUAAUAUGUUCACCAUCAUCUCACAAUCCCUAUCACACAUACAAAAGACCAAGCCUGUAUCCAAUGUCAUCCCUGGUAGCAGAUAAUACCACCCAAAACCAUCUUCUACAUCAUACCCAAGUCUCUCUUCACAUUUGUCUAGAGCUACUAAUGACCACAUUUUUGGGUUGCAUCUACCUAUAAAAUCAACCAUUCCCCCUAUAUACUGCUUGUUAGGAGAGUCUGUGAAGGUCCCUUGAUGGUGUAUCUUUAAGGAGAAAGGUUCAGGCCAAAUUCCACUAUCACCAUUUCCUGGUUCAAAGAAAAAUUUUUUUAAUUCAAUAAUUAAUUUUUUGACACCUUUUACAGUGAAUCGGGACCACAAUGUCUUUAAUACAAGGAACAUUAGGGUUUGGACAAGAUAAACAUUGACUUAAAAAAGACCCCAAAUCAUUUUCAAGCCCAUACAUUCGACAUUAAACAAUUUUGUCUACCAUAAUUUAUCACUAACAUAUAACAUAUAGAGGUCAAUCUGGCCCUUUUUACAUUCCACAAUAUCACUACUAAACCUAACCGACAACAAUCAAAUAACCCAACUACUAUAUACGCUAUUAUCCAACAAGCAAACAAUGACCGUAAUAUCAUUUCUCUUACUGGGGCGGCCUUUCUCUUCUUGUUCUUCAAUGGCAACCUCAUUUCUCCAUCAAACCCUCUUCAAUGGCGAUCUUGAAUUUUCCAUGUUUACAAUAAAUUUCAUCUCUGACUCACGGUCACUAUCAUUUCAAGGGUAUAGACUAGUAGAAAUUUGAUAAUGUAUUGUUCACACCUUUUUCUCUCUCUCUCUCUGUGUUCAAAUCCAAGGUGAAGACGGCAGAAACAAAAACAAAGCUGUUUCGACUUAUUUUUCUUUUGCCCUUAUACCUAACGGGUGGCUAUUUUAGUUUUCAUGACUUAUCUAAUCUCACUAACGGCGCUUGUUUUGCACGCUCGAAGAACCCUGAUGAUUCUGUGGAGUCCGUCAACGAUUUUACUUAAUUGGGACGGAUUCAGUAGUUUGGGGACUUAAGUGUCUCAUUUACAAGUUUAGGGAUUAAAGUGAAAAUAGAGUAUAGUUUAGGGGGUCAAAAGGAAAUUUACCCGGUUUAAUUUGGUAUCAAAGACAGAGAAAGAGGAUCCAAGGCAUUUUAAAAAACGCGGGAAAGCCAAGCCAAGCUGCAAAUUCCCGCCAUUUCAUGUUACUAUUUCCGCCCCCAACUAAGCAAAACACCAAAAACAAAUACAAAGUCCACGCCUGCUACCGCCGCCGCCGCAGCAGCCACCGGUUUCCUCCUGAAAUAGAGCUCCCAUGGCUGAAACUCCAAAGAAAAGAUCCAAACAAACCCCUGAGCACCAACAGCAUGAUCUAUCUUCCUCAAAUGCCAUUACAAUCCUGCAACCCCAGUAGCCCUAGACCCCACCCCUGUCCGCCGAUCUUCCCGCCUUUACACCAACCCAACAGCGGCCACUGCUCCACCUCCUCCACCACCACGUUUCACCCGCCGUAAAUCCCUCAAUUUCACAACCACCACCCCACCCCCACCCCACCCCAAAACCCCCAAGAAACCAGCUCCCCAAAGUCAGGAAGAUGCUGCUAAGCAGAUUUCGCCUAUAUCCCCCGAUCGAUAUGAAACUAGGAGAAAAAGAAAAUUAGAUGAAGAAAAGAAUGCGGGUCUUGCGAAAAAUAAGGAUUUGAAAGGGGGAAGAAAAGGGUUUAUUAUAGAAAAGUGGUUUAUGAUGGGGGUGAGUUUUCUAUAGGGAUGAUGUCUAUGUGAAGAGGAGAGACAAUGCUGAAUCGGAUAAUGAGGAUCCUGAAGUGGAGGAGUGUGUGAUGUGCUUUAAGGCUGGGAGGGCGGUGAUGAUUGAGUGUGAUGAAUGCUUGGGGGGAUUUCAUCUCAAAUGUUUGAAACCACCUUUAAAGGAGGUUCCAGAGGGGGAUUGGAUUUGCAGGUUCUGCGAGGCAACAAAGUUGGGGAAAAAUGUUGAAUUGCCUGUGCCACCUGCAGGGAAGAAGAGGGCUAGGACUGCUAAGGAGAAGUUGCUUUCGAGUGAUUUGUGGGCAGCCCAUAUUGAAAGGUUUGGAAAACACUUUUCCAACCAAUGUUAUGUUUUGAUGAUUAUGCCUCAACUGGUUAAUGAUUCCUGAUUACGUUUACACUGGUGAUUUUUGAAUAUCGCAUAGUAUGUGGAAGGAAGUGGAUGGUACUUAUUGGUUUCGGUCUCGAUGGUAUAUUAUUCCUGAGGAGACUGCUGCUGGGAGACAGCCACACAAUUUAAGGAGGGAGCUUUACAGGACUAACGAAUUUGCUGAUGUUGAGGUAGUAACUGCAAUCCCCUAAUUCACCGUAUAGGUUCACUUUUUCCAGAUGCAAUUGCUUAUGCUUUCAUGAUAGCGGACUGCAUAUUUAUAGAUGUUGGAGAAGAACAGGUUUAUGCCAUGAUUUUUGCAUAAUGUUUUGCAUAGUCCCAAAGUGUUGCUCAGUAUUGUAUGCUGUGUUUCUUUUUUGUAAUGCUUGGAUAACUGUAUAUUGCAUUGUUAAUUACCAUUGUGUACUGAGACUGUUUCUUUUAUGCACAUAGAACCUGGUAAAGAGCAGUUUGUGGGCAUUUCAUGGAAUGUAACAAUUGUUUUAUGAGAUUAAACAAAGGCUGUUGAGAGUCUGGAUUUCUCUAACUAUGAAGGCAUCAUGUUUCUAAGGGGUUCUUUUAGGACACAUGGAAUUUUCUGUGUUGACAUUGACUCUGUAGUACUUGUUUCUCUAGAUGGAAUCUAUCAUUAGGCAUUGUUAUGUUAUGAACCCUAAAGAUUUUAGCAAGGCUGCUGAUGAAGGAGACGACAUUUUCCUGUGUGAAUAUGAGUAUGAUGUAUGUUGGCACAGUUUCAAACGCAUUGCAGAAAUCUCAAAUAAUGAAGAGGUAAGUGUUCCUAAACUCUGAACAACAUAAUUGGGGAUGGUAAUGCUUUUGCAUUGGACUUGAUUGAGACUGAUAUAUGCUUUUAUGAUUAAUAGGAUGCUGAAGAGGAUGAAAGUGAUAAGGACUGGAAUUCUUGCGAAAUUACGGGCUCUGAUUCUGAAGAUGACACAGACUAUAAAAAAGAGAAGAUUAAUGGCUCCCAGCGUGGACCCUCAUUUGGUCUCAUUUGGUCAUUCAUUGGCUGCUGUAUGAUCUUUCUUUUUUUUUUUUUUUAUAAAUCUCCUAAGUACUUAUUGGUAAUGGCAUCUAGUUGAAGCUGAUAGGCUGUUUUAAACUCUCUCAGAACUUGCGGAAGGGGCAAUUUUUUGGACUUCAAAAGAUUGGGGCAAAGAAAAUACCAGAACACACAAGAUGCCACAAACAAACAGAAAUUGGAAAAGCAAAAGCUAUGCUUCUACUGGCAUGCUUACCUAAGUCUCCACCUUGUAGGAAUAAGUGAGGAUGAUGCAGUAUAUUGUUUAUUUCUUGUGAUUCUUUGGUUAUCAAAAGAUGACAGGUCAUUCGAUGUAGAGAAAUGGAAGAAAUAACUGCAUUUAUCAAAGGAGCUGUAUCUGAUGGUCAAUGCCUCGGAAAAUGUCUUUAUAUUCAUGGAGUUCCUGGAACUGGGAAGGUAAGAUCUAGUAGCUAUUAUUGCAACAACAGUCAUAUUGUUUCUAGACAACACAUUAAAGUUAGCCACAUAAUGGUAUAAACUUAUUCUUGUUGUUGCCAACCAACAGACAAUGACUGUCCUUGCAGUAAUGAGGACCCUAAAAAUCGAAGUUGAUUCUGGGAAUAUCAAGCCUUAUUGCUUCGUUGAGAUCAAUGGUCUAAAGCUAGCCUCACCUGAAAAUAUCUACAGAGUAAGGUUUUUGGCGUUUAAUUUAUUUAGGACAUUCAUCUAUUGCCUGAUGACAUUCUCUUCUUUAAUUAUCUUCAGGUAAUCUAUGAAGCUUUAACUGGACACAGAGUUAGUUGGAAAAAGGCUCUACACUUAUUGAAUGAGCGAUUCUCAAAUGGGACGAAUUGGGAAGAAGAAAAUAACAAGCCUUGCAUCCUACUCAUAGAUGAACUUGAUCUUUUAGUAACCAGAAAUCAAUCGGUAAUUGGCAGGAGAUUUAAGAUUAGCUACGUUAACAUCUGCUUUCUACAAAAUUUAGAAAAUUUUUUCACCCAUAACCACCUUGUUUUUCCUGUCUUGGCUUGUAAAUCACAGGUUUUGUACAACAUUCUUGAUUGGCCUACCAAGCCACAUUCCAAACUAAUUGUGAUAGGUAAACACCCACAUUCUUGAUUGGUUCAACAUGGCAGGCACAAUUUGAUGAUAACAAAAGAAUGGGACUUUAUUUCUGCAUUUUGAAUAUCAUUCCAGGUAUAGCAAAUACCAUGGAUCUUCCUGAAAAGUUGCUUCCACGCAUCUCGAGUCGGAUGGGCAUACAGAGGCUUUGCUUUGGGCCCUAUAACUACCAGCAGCUUCAAGAAAUCAUAUCUAGUCGCCUCAAAGGAAUUGAUGCUUUUGAAAAACCAGCAAUUGAAUUUGCUUCUAGAAAGGUUUUUUUUUUUCUCUUUUUAUAAAUGAAUUAUGUUUAUGUGUACCUCAUAAAGAGUUCACCUGCUUUGAAGCUUUCAUUACUAUUGGUGUUUAUGUUUCUAAAUUUAGGUUGCUGCUGUCUCUGGUGAUGCUCGCCGUGCACUGGAGAUAUGUAGGCGAGCGGCAGAACUUGCAGAUUAUCGCUUAAGAAAAUCACAAUCACUUAAUGAUUCUGCUGGUACAAGUGAGACCUCUUAGAUGUUGCUUUCAUCAAUCUGAAGAUAUUUUAAUUAGAAUGCAUGUCAAUCCAGCAUCGGAUGAAGAAUUGUACCAAUAGAGAAAAAGGAAUACCAACUUAUUGGCUCUUGUGCUUCUCAUUUUCAGUUAAGAAGAAUCUGCAUAAGAAAUACCCUUGAACUAUUUCAUGUAAUUUGGCAAUAAAUCUUUUCCAUUUUUGUUUUCAUCAAAUGAAUCGACAAUUUCUAAGCACUUUACAAUAUCCAGAUAGACUGCUAUGAAUUGCAUGGGCAUGUGCUAUCCCGGUUCAGAAUGAUCCGUGAAAGGACAUAUAGUCCAUAUAACCUGUAAUCAGAUCUGAAAAUAAAGCAUUUCAUGGUAGAUUGUGUUGCAAAAAUUUUAUGGCAUGAAAUUCAGUAAUAUUGCUUAUUCUUUCUCUAAUCCAAAAUUGAUGAAGCCAAAGUUUUAGUGUCCUUGAAGUUUCUGCAAGAUAUCAUGGUUAUGCAAGUAUUGCCAUUUUUCAUCUUUCAGCAUUUACUUAUAUCAUCGAGUAUGAGAGGCAAGAUAAGAGCAGGCUGGCCUUCUAUUCAACUUUUGGUAAAUAAAAGAAUUUAAGACAACAAUUUGUGAAAUGAUGGACUUGGUAUUGGCCCACAUAAAGUACUUUCUGACUCCUAUUUUUUAUUUUUACAAUGUUAAUAUUGUAAAGAUUUCUAGAAAUGCUGGCUAAUUCCUUAGAAUGUAGAUGUGUAAAGUUUUAGUUUGGUUACAGAAACUUAUUAGGCUAAAAUGCAGGGAAAAGAGAGUCAACGAUGAAAAAUUUGCUUCAGGAUUUGUGGAGACAUAUAGGAAAAGAAUUUAGACAUUGAUGAAACUUCUGCCUGUUCUACCUCUAUCUAUGUGGCUAGAUAAGUGAAGUGAUGUUUAUAGUACUUGUCGAAAGACCUGGGGACAUUGACAGCACAGUAACAUGGCUGGUAUUAUGUGUAUUUUGUGACACCUUUUCAUCAGAGGCAGGCAAUUUAUUUGAAGAUUAAUAGUGAUAAGUUGCACACUUAGAAUUGGUGAUGUGAUAAUAUUUAGGACAAAAAGACAUCAAUAAUCUCGUUUUCUGCAACAGAUGGCUUUAAGAUUCAGGUCUGCACCUCUCUUUAGAUAUACCAAAUUGGAUGUCCAAUAGCUUCUUAUGGCAUCUAAGCCUCACAUGAUUUGGUGAACGAUUUGCUACCUGAUGCUGUAGUCAGAAGUACAGUUUUACACUAAAAUCAGUUUCUGUUCUUUUUGAAAGAGAAAAAGUACAGUUUAAUCCACAAUGUGAAAGUAGUAAAAGUACCUGUAGUUACUGCAGUUUUAUUAAUGAUUUUGCAGUUUUAAGUUCUCAAGUUUAAGAUAUUUAAAUCCUGCUUAUUUGUUCCACGCCAGAAAAAUGUGGAUUCACAGUUUCUUUGUGAACUUAUCAGGUUUCAAUGAAUCAAAACAGGCACUAAUAUAGGCUUAAGGCAGUCAAUUCAAAAGUUAAACAUAUUUCAUACUAUAAAAUUUGUUUCAAAGUAACUAACCAUUUAGUGACCUUGUUCUCAUGAUCUUGUCGUCUGAGAUUUUCUUUCAAGUCAUCCCAAGUAAACCAAUUUGUGGGGUUUUUGGUAUUACUGCUCAUGCAAACCCUAAUAAGGCUUCUAAGCAUCACAAUGAAGGUUGAUUCAUUUACCAUUAGCUGUCAAUUCUUUUGACGAACUUAAAUUUUGUGUAAAUUGAAGAAAGGUAAUUUGCAUCCCUUAAACAUUUAAAAAAAAAUCAAAGCCAUAUCAUCGGGAUAUUUGAAAUGAAGCAAGCGAUGUAUGAAAAGUUAACAAAAAAGUCUUUGUAUGGAGCUGUAAUGACACCAUAUGCUGGUAUUACAGUUUUCCUUUUGAUCUAUCUCUACACCUUCUCGCAACUAGCUAAUGAACUGUUAACAUCGACCACCAGCUUUGUGAAGAUAGAUUCUGUCAGCUAGCAGGUGCCAAAGGAUUAAGUUAACUACCUUACCUUACAGCUUUAUAGCUGUAAGCUUCAGUGAGGACAUUGAAGAACUAAUUAUUGUGAUCUACACUGUCUUUUCUGUUGCACAACAUCUACUGUCCCUUCUUGAUGAUUGAUAUAAUAUACAUACAUAUGUAUAUAUGGUCUUCAUUUAUAGCACCUAAUGAUGAAAAAACUUGGCUUUGCUGAAAUAAGCAGGCAAUUUUACCCCCGUUCCUUUAGAAAUUUUGGGGUUCAGGAAGUACAUUGUGCAUUGUCCCCUGUUCUGCCUGGUAUGCUAAUGUUGGUGAUGAAUAACUAGAACUUCAAAUGUGUAGAAUUCAUUUCAUUAAGAACUAUGCCUGGUCCUUAAAAACUUGUGCUCAGAUGACGAACCUGCAUGAUGCCAUUUGUUCAGGAAGAAGUCUUGUUGGUGUGGCAGAUGUAGAAGCAGCAGUAAAGGAAAUGUUCCAGGCUCCUCAUAUUCAAGUAAGUAUACAACUGUGAAGUAUCACGUGAACACUACUCCAUUACAGUUUUUAGAGGAAUACAUCAGUGAUGUCAAGGAAAUGCUGUGCCGCUGUCUUGAGGGUGGAUCCAAGUAUUUGAUGGUACUAGUUCCCUGACAGGGCUUGAGUAAUCAAGUUAUGGAUACUAAUGAAGUCUGUUUUGAUUGAAAUGCAACUUGAUACAGCUGGCUUAUUAUUAGAUGUGGUCAUAAAAGGCCAAAAUUUUCUUCCUUUUUUUUUUGAGGCUGGGAAGGGAGUUCUGCCUUUGUAUUCUUUAGAUCAUUAAGUGGUCCAUAUUUCUUUGAUGUUCACUUAUUAAUUGCAGUUUUCUUUUUAUAGCUAGUCUAUACAUUACUUACUGGAGAACCACCAUAUACACUGCUCAUACAGGCAUUAUUUAUGUAUUGACUUCGUUCGCAGGUAAUGAAAAGUUGUUCCAAACUGAGCAAAAUAUUCUUGGCAGCAAUGGUGCAUGAACUGUACAAAACUGGAUGGGUGAAACCAGCUUUGAAAAGGUUAUAUGGACCCUUUCAUUCUUUGAUUUUUAUUCUUCUUAGAAUGAUGGUCAUGAAUACAGCAGUACUAGUAUUGUUGUUGUUAGAGUUAAUGUUGUUAUUACUAUCAUUUUUGUAGUCUUACUCCUUGCUGCUGUGCUACCAUCUGAAUGCCUGAGUUAUGCAUCUUCACAUGGUUCCAAGCUGCCAAUUGCUUCCUUGGCACAUACAGCGCUAUCAUAUUUUGUUUGUCUUAUCUAUUACUUUUUCUAUUACCACAAGAUAGUAGAUACAACUUGCUGUUUCUUUGUGAUUUUUUUUGAUUCCGCCAAACUGUCCUUGGGAUUUCUUUUUCCUUCUUUGUUUUUGGAUGUGGCACCAGGAGUUGGGGAAAGGGGAUGGGGGAUUUAGCUUUUUCGGGCUGUUAGGGUAGCUUGACUAUAUUGUUUGGUAUGAAAUCUGAUAUUCUGCAUCCAGCCUCCAGCUGCUGCUGAGAGGUUGUUGAAUGUUAGUUGAUGCCACAGCAGCAGCUGGAAAGUAAAAGAUUACAUUCAGUGUCAUUCAAAAAUUGAAUCUUCCCAUUUUUAUCAGGUUUUACUGUUUCUGUUUUGUGUUGACUUUUCUUUUAAGUUUUUAAAGAUUUUUUUUAAAUUAUAUUCUGUGGGAGAGGCUAUAAUAUUAUAUUGCUCUUCAGCAUAAUGUCCGUAAAUGCUUGCUGUAUAUGCAGUUGGCAAUGACAGUUUCAUGCCUGUGUACAAGCAACGGUGAAGCAUUUCCAGGAUUUGACACACUCUUUAGAGUUGGGUAAGAUGCGUAAAUAGUUGUAUUUCCUUCAAUCAUAUGAACCAAAGUAUAUCGUCAGCCAUAUUCUUGUAGACCUUUUAUUGAAAUGACUUCAUUUAUGUGCUCAAAGACACGAAAUAAGUGUGACAUUUGUGUCUUUGCCAUGUAUGCACUUACUAAUUAGCAAAGAAGAUUUAGACCGAAUUUGAAGUUCUAAUGUGCCCCAGAGUUAAAGUUGAGGAAUUUUCUUUGCACUCCUUGUGUUUGAUAUUGGAUCUAAAAAGGAUUUCUUUGUUUUUGUUCCUUUCUUCUGUAGUUGAAAAAUCAAAGACCUUUUUUCCGUGUUACCUUGAUCAUUCAGAGGCUUAUUGUUAUUGAUAACAUAAGAGUGUCUCUGUACAUUGCUGGAAUUUGCAUCUUCGUUUCAUUUUAGUGAGCAUCGAAUUCUCCAUUAGAAAAUUAUAGAUGGUGAAAAAACUUGAGCUGACAUGUAGUGAGGUAAUCUAUGUGUGUUGAGUCCAUGUCAGAUGAAUUUAAAUCCUAUUUACCUCUAGUGUUUCUAAUAUUGUGGCAGAUGUAAGCUUGGGAAUGUCGAAUUAUAUUAUGUGAAGCGGGAGUCAGACACAAAUUGCAAAAAUUGCAACUCAAUUUCCCAAGGUCAGUCAUCACCAAGCCCUUUGUUUUAACUGAAUAAUCAUUAUUCCUCUGAGCUUACUUUCCCAACUUUAACAAGUUUCAAUUAACUGCUGUCUGAUACUGUGCUUGUGGCAUCCAGAGGUCUUGAAAAAAAGUGUAAUCCAGUUUUACUAAUUAGGGUGUCUAAGAGCCAAAGGCAGAAAACUUUGUCAGCUUGGUCAAUACUUGUGAUUUUAGUUGAAGACGUAUGUUCAAUGCCACAUCAUUGCAAAUCAAAAUACCGGCCAUCAAAUGGAUAAAUGGAUUGACUGGUGCUGACAUAGGAUUUCAUUUUGUUACCAUUCAGUUAGAUGACUCUCCUGCAUAGCAUCUCUUGAAGCUGGCAAUUGUAGAAAAGAAAUAAAAAUAAAAACCGAAUUUAGGUGUGUGGGAGACUACAUGACAGGUCGACAGUUAGUUGUCUAUGCCUCUGAUUUGAUAUUAGUUUGUGUAACAAAAAUUUAAGAUGACAAAUAUAAUUGGCCUCAUUCAGGAUGGAACUAGUAUAAUGGUCCAAAGUUUGUGCCUGCAACAUUUCAAUUUUUCAUAUACAAUGAAUAUAUGUGCCUGCAGCAUUCCACUUUUUUGCAUCUGAAUAUUAUGUACAUUGAAACUAGAUUACAGUCCUGAUGUUUCUGUUGAAUUUUGCAGUGAUGAUGUGACUUUUGCCCUCAAAGACAGCAAAGACCUACCAUGGUUGGCUAAAUACCUGUAAUCACAAAUAGUGAGAUGCUAAUGCAUUCUUUCCCGCUUGUGUACUACAGAUUUAUUCUUUUUACGUUUUCUAAAACCCUCUCAAUUUUGCAAAUUCAUUUUUAUUUUGGGAUCUAAAUCCCUGUUAUGAUUGUAGAAGUGGGAUUAUAAUUAUCGGCCUUCCACAUGGCAAGGCACUUAUCAGAUGUGCACUUCUUAGUUUUGAUAGGCAUUUAUAUAUGCUUUUUCCUGCAAAUGACUAAACUUUUUAUAUCGAAUUGAUGAGUAUUUAGUUGCAAUGAAUUUUAGCGUCAGUGCAUGGGUGUUUCUUGAAAUAUUUUAACGGAACUUUAUCAUAGAUGUUUCUGAAAAAAUCUACGGGUGGGAACCGUUGCUACAGGGAUAGGGUGGCAAGGAUGGAAAUGUGAGGUGUUUUCUGGUGUUUGGAUUGGGUACUUAUUGUUUAUCUAGAUCUGUUUUAUAGAAACUAGUGUUUAUGUAGCACCUUGCCUGCAUUAGCACCUUUGAUGUCUUCGCUAUAUCCAUGAUACACGGUUUAUCUUUAAAGAAAGGGAAAUAAGACUCCCAUGUCUGUAGUCUUUCAGGUGACAAGGCUUCUGGACCAUCUAAGUAAUGCCAAGAAGCUUUUCUGUAUUUUUGCCAUCACAGCACUUGUGCUGCAUGGAGUCCAAGUUCUACUUGAGCUAACAAUUUCCUGUGUCAUCUGUAUCCAUUAUGAUAUUAGGCACAAUGCAAAUUUCAGAUCCUUUUAUUCUCAAUAAUCUUUAGCACGUCCAAGGAGAGGUUUUGAAUUUGAACCUUUAGAACUUUAGUGUUAGUAUGUGUUUUUGCACUCAAAAUGUCAAUGCAAGUUUGUUUCUAAUCUUUUCCAAAGUGAAACCAUACUUGUCUCGCUGUUAGGAAAUUCUGUUAUGACACUGGGGAUACCCAAGUAAUUAUCAAAGGUCAUUUGUCGAUUCCUAGACCAGAAGAGAAGAUUAGGCUCUGAGUCUGAGCAUGUGGGUACGUGUUCUUGGAGAAGAACAUCUUUCAUUUCUCUAGGUUGAUAGAUAGGCCAAACCUUAGGUAAAAAUUGUCUAGAACACUUUUUGCUGUAUUUAUAGAACGUUCUCCACAACUAAAGAACAAAAUUAGGUCAUCUGCAAUCAUGCAGUGUGAGAUGACAGGCCCAAUCUUUAAAGGCUCCCAUUUUUCUGGCUCGCUGCUUCUGUCAUACAUAUGGAAAUAUACAUAUGGAGAAAUGGACCCCCUUGUCUGAUUACCCUAAAAAGAAUUAUCCAUUUAGAGGGACAGGUUCACGGAUUAUUAAGAAGUCAAAAGGGAUUAAAUCGUAUUUUUAUAUUUUAAGAGAAGGGGAAGUCAAAAGGGAUUAAAUCGUAUUUUUAUAUUUUAAGAGAAGGGGAUAGGUUCAACGAGAUGACUAACAUGUCAAAGGAAUCUAAAUACUUCUUGAACCAAAUAUGUGCACUAAAGGACCCGGUGAAUUUGAAAGGUUAAGAAUUUCUAGUGUUUGAUAUUUGACAAGAAGAUUUGAUCUCCCAACCAACAUCCCAAUAGGAACUUAAAGACCCUCUUGAUGGACACUAGACCAAUGGUUCAAGUUAAGGCCUCAUGAAACUCCAUUCAAAUUUGUCAUAAGCAUUUUCCAGGUUUAUUUUUAAAGCACAAUUUCCUAUUUUUCUCUCUCUUUGCUAGGAAUCUUUUUCAACACUUAACGCAGCAGGAAACACAUUAAACAAAAAUGUAGAACUCAUUUUACUCGUGAUCAUGAGAGUUUUUUUCUAUUCAAUUUGUUGGUACCGUUAGAAGAUUAUUGCUAAGUAUCUUGAGACUCAAUGAGAGCAGAGAUAAGCGAGCUUGGACAUCAUUUAUAGGAGAGCUGACAAUUAUACAAGAAUCCUGGUCUCCCAGAUUUUACACAGAUGUUUAGUAGAACAACUCCAAACUGUUAUCGUUUGAAAAAAAAAAAAAAAAAAAAAAGAACAGCUCCAAACUUGAAAGUGAAAGCAGGCACUAAUGAGGUUGACCAAACCAGUGUAACUCAAGAGCCUACAUUUAUCUUUCCCUUCUCAUUUAGUUUGUUGAUGUUAAUAAACUUAAAUUGUUCAUUUUGUGAAGCAUUUAUUUGUGAAUUACUUAAAAGAUUUAAUAAUAUGUUUGCACCAUAACUAACAAAACUAGAGAUGUAAACGAAUCUAAUUAAACUGAACACCCUAAUGUUCAAUCUUAUUUGAUUAUUUUAUGAGCUUGAAUUUUUGUUCAAAUUUAUUGUCAAACAGAAUUUGAACAAGUUUCUUUAUUGAAUUUGAAUGUUAUCGAAUAAAAGAUGUUAUUCAAAUUUAGUUUGACUAGUCAAUAACCAAUCUCAUACGAAACUCUUAUCAAACCGAACUUGAUUUAAGUCUCGAGUAAUUUGAUUCAUUUUUCAGCUCUAAACAAAACCAACACUCUAUACAUCAAACUAUUAUCUUCACAGCAGAGAUGUACUCCUUUGUCUUCUUAAUACAACGUUAAGAUUAUCUUUUCUAUUUUUACUAUUUUUUUUCAUUUCUUAGUUACGACCUUUUUUCCAAUUAGCUUUGCACUUUUCGUCAACAAACUAUUGACUUAAAUUUCUUGCGCUGUUUGAGCAUAAGCUUUUAUCUGUUCCAGAUUUUGUAAGAAUGGUAGAAUUAAUUUUAGAAUAGUUACAUGUAACCAUAAUGAUUAUUAUAAUAAAAAUGUCAAGAUUAAAAGUCUACAUACACUUUUCGCGUGCGUGUUUACACACACUUGCUAAAACCUACAAUAGUGGGUAUACUUAGUAGUAAUAAAAAGAUAAUACAUGCAUCUGGUAUACAAAUCUGAGUCGUUACUUUUUUAACUUGUCAAACUCCAUCGACUUUUGAAGUCGAAUUUGAAUUCUGUUUCUAAGCAUUUAAUCAACAAUUUGCUAGAAGGUUAACCGUGUAAACAUGUAACGAGGAAGAUGUUGGAAGCCACUCAUACUACAGCAGGAGAAAACUGCAUCAUACAAGAUGUUAAAGCAAUUACCUUUUACGAACUGUAGCAUUUAUCUUCAUGAAGUACAAUUUAAUCCUACUACGAAACACAAAACUGCAAAUUUAUGCAUUUGACAGCUGCAGAUUCAGAGCAGGUUGCUGCGUAAAAGAGGAGGUCCUCUGCCACAAUGGCCGGCCCAGAAUGGCACUUCCAUGGACAGCAAGGUAGGCGGCAU